UACGUAGGGUGCGAGCGUUAAUCGGAAUUACUGGGCGUAAAGCGUGCGCAGGCGGUUACAUAAGACAGAUGUGAAAUCCCCGGGCUUAACCUGGGAACUGCGUUUGUGACUGUGUGACUAGAGUACGGCAGAGGGGGGUGGAAUUCCUGGUGUAGCAGUGAAAUGCGUAGAUAUCAGGAGGAACAUCGAUGGCGAAGGCAGCCCCCUGGGCCUGUACUGACGCUCAUGCACGAAAGCCAGGGGAGCGAACGGG
rnacentral:rRNA from 1 species